rnacentral:tRNA from 1 species
GGGAUUGAAAAUCCCCGUGUCGGCAGUUCGAUUCUGUCUCCGGGCACCA